GUGCUCGCUUGGGUAGCACAUAUACUAAAAUUGGAACUAUACAGAGAAGAUUAGCACGGCCCCUGCACAAGGAUGACACGCAAAUUCAUGAAGCAUUCCAUAUUUUU
rnacentral:snRNA from 1 species